rnacentral:rRNA from 1 species
GAUUAACGCUAGCGGCAGGCCUAAUACAUGCAAGUCGAGGGGCAGCAGGGUGUAGCAAUACAUCGCUGGCGACCGGCGCACGGGUGCGUAACACGUAUGCAACCUACCUUUAACUGGGGAAUAGCCCUCCGAAAGGAGGAUUAACACCGCAUAACAUCACGAGACGGCAUCGCCUUGUGAUCAAACCUCCGGGGGUUAAAGAUGGGCAUGCGUCCGAUUAGCUAGUUGGCGGGGUAACGGCCCACCAAGGCGACGAUCGGUAGGGGGUCUGAGAGGAUGAUCCCCCACACUGGUACUGAGACACGGACCAGACUCCUACGGGAGGCAGCAGUAAGGAAUAUUGGACAAUGGUCGCAAGACUGAUCCAGCCAUGCCGCGUGCAGGAUGAACGAUCUAUGAUCUGUAAACUGCUUUUGUUCGGGAAUAAACCCCUUCACGUGUGGAGGGCUGAAUGUACCGAAAGAAUAAGGGUCGGCUAACUUCGUGCCAGCAGCCGAC